UACGUAGGGGGGCAAGCGUUGUCCGGAUUUAUUGGGCGUAAAGAGCGUGUAGGCGGCUUUGCAAGUCCGUUGUGAAAACUCGAGCUCAACCUCGAGACGCCGGUGGAAACUGCAAAGCUAGAGUCCGGAAGAGGAGAGUGGAAUUCCUGGUGUAGCGGUGAAAUGCGCAGAUAUCAGGAAGAACACCCGUGGCGAAGGCGGCUCUCUGGGACGGUACUGACGCUGAGACGCGAAAGCGUGGGGAGCGAACAGG
rnacentral:rRNA from 1 species